UACGUAGGUGGCGAGCGUUGUCCGGAUUUACUGGGCGUAAAGAGCUCGUAGGCGGUCUGUCGCGUCUGCCGUGAAAACCCAUGGCUUAACUGUGGGCUUGCGGUCGAUACGGGCAUCACUGGAGUUCGGCAGGGGAGACUGGAAUUCCUGGUGUAGCGGUGAAAUGCGCAGAUAUCAGGAGGAACACCGGUGGCGAAGGCGGGUCUCUGGGCCGAUACUGACGCUGAGGAGCGAAAGCGUGGGGAGCGAACAGG
rnacentral:rRNA from 1 species